rnacentral:rRNA from 1 species
GCAGUCGAGCGGACAGAUGGGAGCUUGCUCCCUGAUGUUAGCGGCGGACGGGUGAGUAACACGUGGGUAACCUGCCUGUAAGACUGGGAUAACUCCGGGAAACCGGGGCUAAUACCGGAUGCUUGUUUGAACCGCAUGGUUCAAACAUAAAAGGUGGCUUCGGCUACCACUUACAGAUGGACCCGCGGCGCAUUAGCUAGUUGGUGAGGUAACGGCUCACCAAGGCAACGAUGCGUAGCCGACCUGAGAGGGUGAUCGGCCACACUGGGACUGAGACACGGCCCAGACUCCUACGGGAGGCAGCAGUAGGGAAUCUUCCGCAAUGGACGAAAGUCUGACGGAGCAACGCCGCGUGAGUGAUGAAGGUUUUCGGAUCGUAAAGCUCUGUUGUUAGGGAAGAACAAGUACCGUUCGAAUAGGGCGGUACCUUGACGGUACCUAACCAGAAAGCCACGGCUAACUACGUGCCAGCAGCCGCGGUAAUACGUAGGUGGCAAGCGUUGUCCGGAAUUAUUGGGCGUAAAGGGCUCGCAGGCGGUUUCUUAAGUCUGAUGUGAAAGCCCCCGGCUCAACCGGGGAGGGUCAUUGGAAACUGGGGAACUUGAGUGCAGAAGAGGAGAGUGGAAUUCCACGUGUAGCGGUGAAAUGCGUAGAGAUGUGGAGGAACACCAGUGGCGAAGGCGACUCUCUGGUCUGUAACUGACGCUGAGGAGCGAAAGCGUGGGGAGCGAACAGGAUUAGAUACGCUGGUAGUCCACGCCGUAAACGAUGAGUGCUAAGUGU